ACUGGGCGUCUCCUUUUCUGUGCAGGCUGGCUACAUGUCUGGGAUGCUGGUUCCUGUAGGGGUCGGGAUAGCCGGAGCCUUGUUCAUCUUGGGAGCGCUCUACAGCAUUAAGGUUAUGAAUCGCCGAAGGAGAAACGGCUUCAAAAGGCAUAAAAGAAAGCAGAGAGAAUUCAACAGCAUGCAAGACCGAGUCAUGCUCUUAGCCGACAGCUCUGAAGAUGAGUUUUGAAUCUGACGGGAGUUUCACUGGAUAUUCACCUGUGUUAUUAUUUUACUUUUUAUUUUGGGGGCAAAAGAAGAACAGCAGCCUGCCACAUCACUGCUGUUAGGCCGUCGGGCUCAUUAUCUGCCAGGCAGUAGAUUUCUCUUGUACUGAGCAGGAAAGGCAUGUUGUAGACUCACUGUAAUAUGCCGUGCUUGUUUUUCUUUGGUAGUGAAUUUUCCACAACCAUAGGCUAUCACUCAUCAAUAUGCAGCGCACGUGUUGCUCACUAGAAGUUGCUAGGUAAAUAUUUUGUAUUUUUCCAAAGGGCCUUUUCCUUGGUUUACCUGCACUGAGCAUAACGAUUAUUGCUGCCAAGGCGUAUGUUGACUCUGAAAUCGAAAUCUUAAGAGAAUAGCUCACGAUGACUGCGUUCGGCCCACUUGAGGCUGUAGGCUUCUGGGCCAUGGUACAUCCUACGUUUGCAUCAAAACGAGCAGCAAGUUGGAAUGAAAUCUUCUUUGUCAAGAAGAUCUCUCGGCACAUUAGGAUUAUGUGUAGAUUUGUAUCUGUCUUGCAUUCUAUACUCCAGUCUCCCAGUUUUAUUAUUUUGCAUCUUCUGUCUUAUUCUCAUUCUUGGCAGGAAAAAGAAAUGCACCAGAAAUAACGCAUUAAAUGGACUCUCAGUCUUAAUGUAAACUUGCUUUCUUAAAUAGUGUAAUUGAAUCUGACAGACA